GAUCACUUGAAGGGAAGUAAGAUCCAGAUGAAGUUAAGGAAAAAAAAGGUUGUAGAUGACGUGAUACUGAGUCAACUAGAAAUCUGGCAACUAGAGGACGAAAACUGUCUUAAUGAAAUGUGAAGUCAUAGAUUCACUCACCAAACUGGGAAGUCAAGCAGUUCAGAAUGUGGAGCUCAAACAAAAUCACCAGGUAAUGGAAACUGCCAACUCAAGUUUUAGUGGUACCCAUGUUCAGUCAGCAAAUUUGAAAGUCAACAGAAUCUUGUGACUAAAUUUUCUCAAAUAAAGUGUGAACAGAA